GCUGUGUAACCGAGGAGCCAAUUUGAGUGAGCAACGUAGGGUCAGAUAACCUUGAAUUUCCAAGGCCACACUGAAGAAAGAAAGAUUUCCAUCUUGAGUGCAUGUCAGCAACACAGGGGCCAACAGGGAGAAACUUCGGUACUGCACAGUCGUCACUGGAGAUUUACUCUUGCUAUUUCGAUGGCGGUGAGAACGUGACAGGGCACCUAUGUGUGAGUCCAUGCUUACGCAGUAUAUACAUC
rnacentral:misc_RNA from 1 species